GUGCUCCCUUUGGCAGCACAUGUACUAAAACUGGAAGGAUACAGAGAAAAUUAGCAUGGCCCCUGUGCAAGGAUGACUCGCAAAUUCAUGAAGUGUUCCAUAUUUUU
rnacentral:snRNA from 1 species